rnacentral:rRNA from 1 species
GAUGAACGCUGGCGGCGUGCUUAACACAUGCAAGUCGAACGAACGGAGGAGUGCUUGCACUCCAAAGUUAGUGGCGGACGGGUGAGUAACGCGUGGGUAACCUGCCUCAUGCAGGGGGAUAACAUCUGGAAACGGAUGCUAAUACCGCAUAAACUAUGGAUGACCGCAUGGUCAUUAUAGCAAAGAUUUAUCGGCAUGAGAUGGACCCGCGUUGGAUUAGCUAGUUGGUGAGAUAACAGCCCACCAAGGCGACGAUCCAUAGCCGGCCUGAGAGGGUGAACGGCCACAUUGGGACUGAGACACGGCCCAAACUCCUACGGGAGGCAGCAGU